GGAGUUUACUCCGCAGCGGUGUUAUUCUGUAGCCUGUAGAAGAGAUUUAAUUUCCAAAGUGAUCGCUUUUUGGACCAUUCUCAAAUAUGUCAUUUGAUAAGGAGAUGGGAUGGUUUCUCUCUAUACAUCAUGGUAUAAAAACCAGGAGAAAAAUAAAGGUCUUUGUGACCAUGGUUUAUAUCUGCUGGACAGUAAAUGGAGGUGCAGGACUAUUAACAACUGUAGCUCCAAAUACUGAAAGUCACGCCACAACAUUUGGUGAAACAACAACGAUGGCACCAUUUACAACUGUAGGUCGUACAACAGCACGUAGUCAAACCACAACUGGAAAUCCAACCACGGCAAAUCUU